UUUGAAAAAAUAUAUUCAACCAGCUUAAUUUUUCUAAUUUUGUUUUUGUUAAAUCCUGUUUUCUUAUUAACUAUUGAUUGCUAAGCAGCAGGCAGUGUGCUAAGUACGUUACCUGGAUUAUCCGGUUAAUCCUUCCAAUAGCUACACGGUGAAGACAAGAUGUCCACAUCUUCUGCAGAUAAGGAAACUGAGGGGUAAUAAUAAAUAAUUUGCACAACACAGCACAAAGCUGAGGAGCCAACACUGGACCUGACGAAGUCCCAUUCUGGAAGCCAAACUCCCAACUGCUAAGCUCUGCUUGAAUUCUCAUUGAGCAUCUCGCUUCUUUAAAGUUUCAACAACUCAGCAGUCUAUAAUCCAACUCGCCUUCUCCGCAAUGCCAAAAGUGCAAUGAGCUUCAUGCUGAAUACUGAUUUGAAGUGUGGUUCACCACACAGACUUAAAUUGUCCUUCCCACAACUUUAUCUGAGAAGCCUGACAACGGUGACAAUCACAGGACUAGUUUUAUUGGUCAGGAUGUGGUGUUACUAUAUUAAAGCGCUUCAGGUUUUCAUAGCGCUCGUCAAACAGAGACCUCGGAACACUCUGCAGACAUUAAUUAAUGUUCGCUCCGGCCCUGGAAGCCAUUUCACCAAUGGAAAUUCCGAUGAGAAAGGAAGAAACGAGGGGUUCAAGGCCGCGCCGUUGUGAGUCCGCUGCGGAACUAGGAACUGAAACCCCGUGGUUCCCAAUGAGCCAGCGAAAGUCUGUCGAAGUAUUGAGCACCCCUAUUGAAGACUGUGGGAGUUUUGGCGGCUUAAUGGGAUUGUGUUCGGUCCUUCAGGCUCUCCUUUAAAAGAUUCCAUGGCACCAACGAGACUCCAAUAAAAGGGCCUCUCUAAUUGCUUUCUGACUUUCUAUGAAACUUUCUAAGCUAUGCUGACAUCCUCGAAUACAACUAUGGAAUUAAAGAGGAGAGAAAGGCGAGGCACAGUGGGUGCGCAAAGAAAAAGAGGUUCUCAGCGGA
rnacentral:lncRNA from 1 species